rnacentral:tRNA from 1 species
GUUCCUGUAGUUAAAUGUUUAAAUAACGGCGGUUUUUCAGGCCGCAGAUCUUAGAGAGAGGCUAAGUAGGAAUA